rnacentral:rRNA from 1 species
UACGUAGGGACCAAGCGUUGUUCGGAUUUACUGGGCGUAAAGGGCGCGUAGGCGGCGUGACAAGUCACUUGUGAAAUCUCCGGGCUUAACUCGGAACGGCCAAGUGAAACUGUCAUGCUAGAGUGCAGAAGGGGCAAUCGGAAUUCUCGGUGUAGCGGUGAAAUGCGUAGAUAUGCGGAGGAACACCGAUGGCGAAGGCAAUCCCCUGGGCCUGCACUGACGCUCAUGCACGAAAGCGUGGGGAGCAAACAGG